rnacentral:misc_RNA from 1 species
GUCAAGGCUGCUAUGGAGAGAGUAGCCAAUCAGGGAAAAGCUAAAUAAAUACACAACAUUCGUCUCUGAUAGCCCUACAGACACAUGAGUGUUUGACUGACAGUGUAGAUAAUAGAAUCCUGCUUGUGUUUGUUUUUUGUUUUUUUUUUAAAGUGCUAUUUCACAAACUUUCAAUUGCUGAAAUAACAUAUUUAUUAUUAGAAAGUGCAUAAUGUUGUUAUAUUUAUACCACAUUUACCAUCUGAUUUUAAUUCUUGUGUAUGUAUCAACAGAGUUUUAGUUAUUUUUGAAAGUUCUCUGUGCCAUAGUGCAUACUAAAAGUUUACAGUCACGUAGAUUCAAGGUUCUGUUUGAUGUACAACCAUUACAAUUUUAGAAGUACUAACUACAUGACUUGUAAUAGAUACAAAAUGAUAUAAACACGUUGUUAAUGACUUGUUAGGUUUGUUUUUCCUGUGAGAUGUUGAAGCUUAUAUUGAAUAAACCUUAACAAAAUGAU